CUACGGGAGGCAGCAGUGGGGAAUCUUAGACAAUGGGCGCAAGCCUGAUCUAGCCAUGCCGCGUGAGCGAUGAAGGCCUUAGGGUUGUAAAGCUCUUUCAGCGAGGAAGAUAAUGACGGUACUCGCAGAAGAAGCCCCGGCUAACUCCGUGCCAGCAGCCGCGGUAAUACGGAGGGGGCUAGCGUUGUUCGGAAUUACUGGGCGUAAAGCGCACGUAGGCGGACUGGAAAGUCAGGGGUGAAAUCCCGGGGCUCAACCCCGGAACUGCCUUUGAAACUCCCAGUCUUGAGGUCGAGAGAGGUGAGUGGAAUUCCGAGUGUAGAGGUGAAAUUCGUAGAUAUUCGGAGGAACACCAGUGGCGAAGGCGGCUCACUGGCUCGAUACUGACGCUGAGGUGCGAAAGCGUGGGGAGCAAACAGGAUUAGAUACCCCUGUAGUC
rnacentral:rRNA from 1 species